ensembl:rRNA 5S_rRNA 5S ribosomal RNA
GUCUCAGGCCGGAUCAGCCUGAAGGCGCCCGAUCUCGUCUGAUCUCGGAAGCUAAGCAGGGUCGGGCCUGCUUAGUAUCUUGGAUGGGAGACCACCUGGGAAUCCCGGGUGCUCGAGGCU